rnacentral:misc_RNA from 1 species
GAACAAAGUUCACGAUCUCAGGAUUUUGCUAAAAGAUUGGAAUAACUUCUUUAAUCCAACUGCGAAUAACAAAGCUUCCCCUACCCCUUCAUGGACUGUUCCUCAAGAUUGCAGAACUUCAUUUCAAAGAGGGAGGCAACCUAAGAAAACUGGGAACAGAAGGUUAUCUUAGGAAGCACAAACUGGAAUGAUGAUUUGAAG